rnacentral:rRNA from 1 species
AGUGAACGCUGGCGGUAGGCCUAACACAUGCAAGUCGAACGGCAGCACAGUAAGAGCUUGCUCUUACGGGUGGCGAGUGGCGGACGGGUGAGGAAUACAUCGGAAUCUACUUUUUCUUGGGGGAUAACGUAGGGAAACUUACGCUAAUACCGCAUACGACCUACGGGUUAAAGCAGGAGAUCUUCGGACCUUGCGCGAUUCAAUGAGCCGAUGUCGGAUUAGCUAGUUGGCGGGGUAAAGGCCCACCAAGGCGACGAUCCGUAGCUGGUCUGAGAGGAUGAUCAGCCACACUGGAACUGAGACACGGUCCAGACUCCUACGGGAGGCAGCAGUGGGGAAUAUUGGACAAUGGGCGCAAGCCUGAUCCAGCCAUACCGCGUGGGUGAAGAAGGCCUUUGGAUUGUAAAGCCCUUUUGUUGGGAAAGAAAAGCAGCAGGUUAAUACCCCGAUGUUCUGACGGUACCUAAAGAAUAAGCACCGGCUAACUUCGUG